rnacentral:rRNA from 1 species
GGACCGUGUAUAAGUCUCUUGGAACAGAGCGUCAUAGAGGGUGAGAAUCCCGUCUUUGACACGGACUACCAGUGCUUUGUGAUGCGCUCUCAAAGAGUCGAGUUGUUUGGGAAUGCAGCUCAAAAUGGGUGGUGAAUUCCAUCUAAAGCUAAAUAUUGGCGAGAGACCGAUAGCGAACAAGUACCGUGAGGGAAAGAUGAAAAGCACUUUGGAAAGAGAGUUAAACAGUACGUGAAAUUGCUGAAAGGGAAACGCUUGAAGUCAGUCGCGUCUUCCGGAACUCAGCCUUCCUUUUGGUUGGUGCACUUUCCGGUUGACGGGCCAGCAUCAAUUUCGACCGUCGGAAAAGGGCUGGGGAAAUGUGGCACCUUUCGGGGUGUGUUAUAGUCCUCAGUCGCAUACGUCGGUCGGGAUUGAGGAUCGCAGCGCGCCGCAAGGCAGGGGGUUAGCCCACUUUCGCGCUUAGGAUGCUGGCAUAAUGGCUUUAAACGACCCGUCUUGAAACACGGACCAAGGAGUCUAACAAACCUGCGAGUGUUUGGGUGGAAAACCCGAGCGCGUAAUGAAAGUGAAAG